ACCCCAUACUAUUAAGCCGACAAUUUCAAUGUAUUUCAAUUGAAAAUGUGUGCUCGUUAUGGGAACAGCAAAGUCUGCUCAUUGUGUAUGAUUGUAUUUAUUUUUAUAAUCAAAGAAUUGAUGCAGGACA
rfam:Apis mellifera strain DH4 linkage group 3, whole genome shotgun sequence.